rnacentral:lncRNA from 1 species
GUCCAUUUUCUUUUUUGUCCUCUUCUUGUGUCUUCCAAUGGUCGAUUUUGGGAGUCUCAGUGAAGGUUGGUCUUUCGAAUCAUCUUCUCUUUGGAGGAACCUCCUGUUGGUUCAAGCAAAGGAUGCAGUAUUGUACCAUCUUCUUUUCUCGGCACAAUCGGAUCCAAAUUGAGUCUGGAGGAUCUAGGUCUUAUCCAUUCCAAUACAGGAUCCCAACUUCAUAUGAA